rnacentral:rRNA from 1 species
AAUGAACGCUGGCGGCAGGCCUAACACAUGCAAGUCGAGCGAGGACUUCGGUCCUAGCGGCGGACGGGUGAGUAACGCGUGGGAAUAUGCCCUUUGGUACGGAAUAGCCUCGGGAAACUGGGAGUAAUACCGUAUGUGCCCUUCGGGGGAAGAUUUAUCGCCAAAGGAUUAGCCCGCGUUGGAUUAGGUAGUUGGUGGGGUAAUGGCCUACCAAGCCGACGAUCCAUAGCUGGUUUGAGAGGAUGAUCAGCCACACUGGGACUGAGACACGGCCCAGACUCCUACGGGAGGCAGCAGUGGGGAAUCUUAGACAAUGGGCGCAAGCCUGAUCUAGCCAUGCCGCGUGAUCGAUGAAGGCCUUAGGGUUGUAAAGAUCUUUCAGAUGGGAAGAUAAUGACUGUACCAUCAGAAGAAGCCCCGGCUAACUCCGUG